ACCCUCUGUUGUUGUAACUCAACUGCUUCAUCUAGAUUUCCUCCGAUAGGAUCAAUUGGAUCUCUUGGAUUGUUCAUUCUUCGCAAAGUGCGGUUCAGCUCUGGAUCGUAAGGAGUAAGUGGUUCACCCUGGCUCCGUGUACUUGGCAUACACUAGAGUCGGAACCUGAGAGAGACAAAAACAAAGAGAAAAGGUAAAAUUAGGAAAUAUUUGACUAACGUUCAAUAAUG
rnacentral:lncRNA from 1 species